ensembl:lncRNA
AAAAAUCUCAGCAAACAAGCCUGCCUUUCUGGGCCAAGUUCUCCAACAGAGAGAAAUAAAUAUCCCAUAACCAUUUAAUAAACAACCACUGAGACAAUUAGCAAACAUAACCUCCAGUAGCAUGGACUCUGGCCUCCCACAAAUUUCAGAAAUGUCGCUUUCAAUUCAUGUCAGGGUUUUAAAGUAGCACUUUCCCAAAUUGUAUGAGCAAAUUAGCAGUUUGGAAUACCACACUCAGCUUCGGCAAUCCUUGCCAACCUCAUCCUGCUCAGAGAAGGCCACGCUCAGGCUUUUCAGAGCAGAGAGUAACAUUGUUUCUUGCUGCCCUUUGGCCACUGUGGUACGGUUAGCUGAGGAGAGGCCUUGGCGAUGGCACUGCCAGAGACUGAUGAACAAGGAGAAGCUGAAUAUGGAGGGAAGGGAGAAAAAAGAGGAGACCAGGAAGGAUUGAAGCUGCCCUCUCUCCCUUAGCAUCUCAAGGCCUUGCCGCAUCGUCGGACACACGCGGAAAGCCUAGGGUCCUGAAGCCCCGCCCCGCCAAAGCCGCCUCUCCCCGGAGCCACUUCUGACCCGGCUACAGCCUUCCUGAUGGCAUAAGAGCCAUUUUUUUGGGCCACGGUGAACUGAGGGAUCCAGGCUCAGCUCUCAGACUUGGAUCGACCUCUCAGUGGCAAGGCCUGAGGGCUCGUCAGUCCCAGUAAGCCAACAGGGCAUGAAGCUGCACCCUAGAAUUGACAAGGAGGAGGGUGGGGGCCCCGCCUAGAGGAUUCUCUUCCACAGCUGCAUUUUCUGAGUGACAAUCAUGAGCCAGAAGGAAGAGAGAAUAAUCCUUCCUGAGCAUCUACUAUGCACUCAUAAUUUUUUGCACUUGGCCUUUGCGGCAACCUAAGCGGCAGUACUGUUUUCCCCGGCCCCUGCUGGUAACAUCGCGGGGCCAGGGCUGGGGUGCAGACGGAGGGCCACAUCCCCCGUGCCACAGGCGUCAGUGUUCUAAAGGUAAAACUCAAGCUAAGACGCUGUUAAAUAAAGCAUGUGCUAACCUUCUAAGUUGACAAAUAUCUUCAUGAUCACCUGGGAGGCCAAGUUUGAAUUUAGAAUUCUUACGCUCAUCUGAGUUCUUUUCUUUUUUUUUUUUUUUUGAGGAAGACUGGCCCUGAGCUAAUAUCUGCCUCCAAUCCUCCUCUUUUUGCUGAGGAGAAUUGGCCCUGAGCUAACAUCCAUGCCCAUCUUCCUCUAUUUUAUAUGUGGGACACCUGCCACAGCAUGGCUUGACAGGUGGUGCAAAUGUCUGCACCCGGGAUCCGAACCAGUGAACCCUGGGUUGCGGAAGCAGAACCUGCAAACUUAACUGCUGUGCCACCAGGCUGGCUCCUCAUCCCAGUUCUGAGCUGAAGUGUGGCGAGGCUCGGAGAACUGUUCCUUCUCUCCUCAACCCUGACUCUGUCCCAAGCCAGUGAGGACACCCGUGUGUGGAAAUCAGAUGUCCCUGCUGUGUCCAACUCCAUCCCCGUCACGUCCUCCCCAGCAGCUGCCCUUGGCCCCCAUCAGGCCUCAGACAGUCAGCAUAGUACAUCCUCAAGAGGACAGAUCUGGGGAGCAGCCCCCACUGACCCCAGAGGUGGGUUCAGGCCAGUUUGGACAGAGAAUUUCAGGGUCCCAGCCCCUGUGAGGUGGCCUAGGUGGGGAACAUGGAUUCUAAGGGGCAGGACCUUUGGCCCUUGAGCCCCUCACCCAGCAGGGAGCACCAGAACAGGACCCUAUAGAUUGGGGGCACUGGAGCAGGAGCCUGUCUUUCCUGAGCCUAAAGAUUUUACUGACUUUAUUUAUCUCCUGCACAAAUGAGCAGAUCAAUGUGGCUGGCCAGGAGGGGCCAAUCCCCAGGAAGAUGAACCUGAGGGUAGCAGAAGACCCCAUCUUAAUCCAGGGCGAUGGAGGGUCGACCCAGUAGCACUCCAUGUUCUCAGAUCCCUUGCUAAGUUCAUAGAUGAGAAAUGGAACCCACAGAGUUUAAAAAUUCCACGACUGUCCCAUAGCCCAUAAGUGUUGGAGCUAGGCUGCCAACUUACAUUGGUCUGAUCCCAAGGUCCCUGCUCUUUUUUUUUUUUUUUUUUUUUUUUGCUGAGGAAGAUUCAGCAUGAGCUAACAUUCAUUGCCAAUCUUCCUCUUUUUUGCUUGAGGAAGAUCAGCCCUGAGCUAGCAUCCAUGCCAAUCCUCCUCUAUUUUUUUGCAUGUGGGACACUGCCACUGCAUGGCUGGUGAGUGGCAUAGGUCUGUGCCCGGGAUCUGAACGCGUGAACCCAGGUCGCCAAAGUGGAGUGUGCAGAAUUUUAACCACUUCGCCAUAGGGCCAGGCCCAAUCCCCACUCUUUCUGUACCCUACUCUACUCCUCGAAAGACCAAAGAAGAAGGUGGCUAAGGUUGAAGAGAGAAGAGGAUGCAGAAAAUAGAGGGCCGAAUUUGAGGCUCUGGGAUUUGAAGAAUCUCACUUUCUGCCUGCGAUGGAAACCAAAGUCCAGUCCAAGGGAUUCCUGAGUGUUGCUGUGCCACCAGGCAGCUCCUGACCCUGUGCCACCCUCUGGCACCCGUAGGCUGGACUACUGCACCUAAAAUGCAGAAGCCUCCCCUUGGGUGCAUAUCUGGUGUCCCCCCAGCUUCUCAACUUAUCUUUAAGUUUUUGCUAUGAUGAACUCUGACCUUUCCUCUCGUUCUUCCAAGCCAUCUGCCUGCUCUGUCAAAAAAGGUGGCCUUGGGUGUGGCAGCUAAUGAAGCUUUCCUCUGCAGGGGUACCUCACAGAGCACAGAGACGCAAGAAUGUACAGCACCAGGAGUGAACCCUAAUGUAAACCAUGGACGUUGGGUGAUAACGAUGUGUCAGUGUAGGCUCAUCAGUUGUAACAAAUUUAGCGAAUGCCGAACCUGAACCUGACGUCUGUCUCCUGGAAACUUGUGCCCAUCAGUCCCAUAGUGACUCAGAGCACCUCCUCUUCCUCGUGACCGUCCUUCAGAUGUCUACAGAUCACAGGAACAUCCCCCUGAGUAUUUCCUCUGCUUCCAGCUAAGCUUUUAUAUUUCCUUGGACCAUUUUGGUUUUUUCAGCCACUUUAUCUUCCUCCGAACAAGAAGCUGCCUUGUUCUUAGAUGACCCAUCUCCAUGGCCAGAGUGGAUGGGUACAGAGGAGGUAUUGACGCAAGCUGUCCGAUCCGAUUUCUGCUCUCGGAUUUUUCAAACUGGCGCUGAAGUCAGUCAGAUCCUCUCUGGGUAGGAGCUGACGGAUGUGAGGUUUGGGAUGUGUUGACAGCCGUGUUUUCUGCCGUGUGUGGGAAGAACACCAUGUAAGAGAGACAAUGAAGGUGACCCUGAGAGGAGCAGAGAAAUGGAGGGGGAGGGACUGCCGGCAGCCUUCGGGCAUCUGGAUGCGGUUGCCCCGGAAGCCCAGCGCUAUCCCUGUCCUUCCGGUGGAUUGUCAUUCAAUCCUUUUUGUAUUCUGUGAACCAAUAAAGUCCCUUUGUCUAAACCAGUUUACAGUGGAUUUCUGAGACUUUCAAAUAAGAGAAUCAAACUGGCCACAUCUGAAAACCUAGAGCGUGGGCUUUGGAAUUCAAAAAGCCUCGGUUUGAAUCCUAUGUUCGCCACUUAUUACCUUUGUGAUCUUUAGGAAAUUUCCUAAGUACUCUGACCUCGUUUUCUUCACCUGUAAAAUGGGACCAGCAUUCGGUACGUUACCGCUUUGCUAUAAGGAAUAAGGAAGGAUCCUGCCUAUAAAGGCCACUUCUGCACCUGACACACAGUAGUCUCAUCCCAUUGGCAACAGCAAAGCAAAUUUUAUCUUUAUUACUACCGAGUUUCAGUUAAUUCAGGCAUUUACACAAGCUGUCACAAAAUUUGUUUCCUCACCCUGAACUGACUUUUUGAGCCUAAUUGCUGGAUUUUCAGAAUGUUUCUGCUCACUUUCCCCUUUGUUAAUUCCAGAAAAAUUGUUUAACAGAAAUGUUGAAGUUUUUCAAAGGACAGAUGCUCCUCUGUCCCCUAGGAAGCUUCUGACUUGUGUUGUUUUCAGAGUUUCAUGACCAGGGCAACAGAAGCAGUCAAUGUUUGAAGUCUUUCUCCUCUGCUGUGGGUAAAUUCUUGGGCCCUUUCCCAGAAAUGACUUUCCAGAAUAAUUGUUCUAGAAAGCUCCACGGAGACUGCCUGUCUGCUGAACUGUCACACGUUGGAGUUAAUUCACAGUUCCCGUCAUCUAUCCACAAUGAUAUGCAAAAAGCCCUUGGCUUGGAGAUAGAAGAUUCUAGGCUCAAUUUCCAGCUUUCGAAGUUUCCAGACUCCUCGGGUUACGAGUCCUGUAGGGGCUGGUGCAGGAGUUCUAAGAUGAACUCAGCUACUGACCUCAAACAGAUCAUGUUCUAAUGGAAGAGAGCAGUCACAUACAGCUGUCAUUUAACAGAUAUAAUAACAUUCCUUUGAAGCCAGUGAUGGCCAUGUGACUUUUUUUCUGGCCAAUGAAAACUAAGCAGAAGUCAGCUGAAGGGUGUUUCUGGAAAAUCUCUUGCUGUCAUGAUAAAAGGAAAAAGAUGCAGCAGCUAUGGCUCUUUGUCUUUUCUCCCUUCUUCCUGCUUUAUGUGAUGAUGUGAUGACUGGAACUAUGGCAGCCAUCCUGAGCAAUGAGGCAAGAAACAUAAGUAGAAGACAACAUUCCAUGGAUAGCACAGGAAAGACAGAAGGAGUCCAUGUCCCUGAUGGCAUCACUGAGCAGCCAAACCAUUGCCAUCAAUUUCUCACCUCUAGAUUUUUUGUGUGAGAAAAAUAAACCCCCCGUUUGUUGAAACUGUGUGUAUCAGAUAUUUGUGCACCACAUUGCAUCUCUAAACCUUUGAUUCCAGUCAUGUAUAUGUUUUGCAAACAUUUUCUCCCCAUCUGUGGCUUGUCUUUUGGUUUUCUUAACAAUAGUUUUCAAAGAGCAAAAGUUUAAAUUUUGAUGGAGUCCAUUGUAUCAAUCUUUUCCUUUUCAGGUUUGUGUUUUUUUAUGUUCUUUGCUUACCUAAGGUCACAAAAGUUUUCCUCCUGUUUUGUUUUUUUUUUUAGAAGAUUUAUCGUUUCAGCUCUUACACUUAGGCCUAUGAAUGCUUUUGAGUUAAUAUUUUAUAUGGCUUGAUAUAUGAGUGAAGGUUAUUUUUUUUUUGCCUUAUAGAUACCCAGUGGUUCCAUUUGUUGAAAAGUCUAUUCUUCCCCCAUUUUAAGUACCAUGGCAUCUUUGUCAAAAUCAAUUGACCAUGUUAGAAUGGGUCUAUUUCUGAAAUCUUUUGUUCCAUCGAUUUUUUUUAUUGUUGUUCCAUUGAUUUUUGUGUCUACCUUUGUGCUAGCAUCUUGCUGACUUUGGUAGCACUAUAGUGUAUUGUAAAUGGAGGUGAUUUUUUUUUUUUUUUUUGGUGAGGAAGAUUGGCCCUGAGCGAACAUCUAUUGACAAUCUUUCUCUUUUUACUUAAAGGAAGAUUGUCCCUGAGCUAACAUCUGUGCCAAUCUUCCUGUAUUUUGUAUGUGGGACAACCUCCACGGCAUGACUCCCUCUCUCAAUAAGCAGUGAGUGGGUCCGCACCCAGGAUCUGAACUGGUGAACCCCAUGCUGCCGAAGCAGAGUGUGCAAACUUAACCUCUAUGCCCCUGGCCAGCCCCUGGAGUUGAUUUUUAAAUUUUAGUUUCUAAUUGCUCAUAUCAGUAUAUAGAAAUGCAAUUAAUUUUUGUAUAUCGCCCUUGAAUCUUUCACUUUUGCUGGAAUCACUUAUAAUUCUACAGCUUUUUUCUUCUUUUGGUGUAUUCCUAGGAUUUGUCUGGGUACACAGUCAUGAUGUCUACAAAUAAAGUCAAUUUCUCCUUUAUGCAAUCGAUUGUUAUCUGUCAGGAUUUAUUCCUUAUCUUUGGGCCUUAACCAGUUGACCACAUGUGGCUCAGCAUGACCUUCUUCAUGUUUGUCCUGCCUGAUGUUCAUUGAGCAUCUUGAAUCUGUAAAUUCAUAUUUAUAAUCAAAUUUGGGAAAAUUUCAGCCAUUAUUUCCUCACAUGUUUUUUCUGCUCCAUUCUCUUGCUCUCCUCUCCUUCUGGAACUCCGCUUACAUAUAUGUUAGACCAUCCGAUACUCAGGUCCCUGAGUCUCUGUUCUUUUUUUUAAAAAAAAUCUUUUUCUCUCUGUUCUUCAGAUUAUAUAAUUUCU